rnacentral:rRNA from 1 species
UACGAAGGGGGCUGGCGUUGCUCGGAAUGACUGGGCGUAAAGGGCGCGUAGGCGGCUUACAUAGUUAGGGGUGAAAUUCCUGGGCUCAACCUGGGGACUGCGUCUAAUACAUGUAGGCUUGAGUGUGAAAGAGGGUUGUGGAAUUUCCAGUGUAGAGGUGAAAUUCGUAGAUAUUGGAAAGAACACCGGUGGCGAAGGCGGCGACCUGGUUCAUUACUGACGCUGAGGCGCGAAAGAGUGGUGAGCAAACAGG